rnacentral:tRNA from 1 species
AAGGGAGACCUAAUUCAGGUAGGAGACGAAAAAAAAGUAGUCGCUACCAAGAAUCAAUCCCAAAAGGUCGGAGCGAGGCGAAAUUGGCUUUCAAACUAGGUUCUGGGUUCACACAAGACCUGAAUCAGGAACAAGGGCUAUUAGCUCAGGUGGUUAGAGCGCACCCCUGAUAAGGGUGAGGUCCCUGGUUCGAGUCCAGGAUGGCCCACCUGUACAGGUGGCAAAAAGAAAGAAAAGAAGCGAGGAAUCAGCACCUCAUCUUACUGACAUAGUAAGAGAGAAUGCUGGCUCUGAGUAAAGAGUCCAGAGGAACCUUGAAAACUGCAUAGAGCUAGGUGAAAAAGCCAAAAAAGAAGACCGCAA